UAUGCUGUUUUUAUUACAAUAAAUAAAUGAAUUUCAAAAGAUAUUUGAGUCAUUUAUUCAAUGAUUUCAUCUUAUUGUUUACCGUGCGUCGCCAUUUGUAGUUUGGUAAUACCAUAAGCGCAAAAAGCAAUCUCAAACGAAAUAUAAUUGUUCAUAAUCUCACACCUACACUGCAGAUAAUGUUAAUUUUCAUGUUCUUAAUCGUUUAUUUCAGGGUUGCAAGUCAUGUUUGAUGCAAUUCCGAUGAAUCGACUAUUGAAAGCCAAUCGUCCAUUUAUUUUUAUGCUUGUUCAUAACAGACACGCACCGUUAUUCUUUGGGAAACUUUCAAGCACGAAAAUAUAACCCCGACCAAAAUAGAAGCAUUAUGUUUCGUCCACCAAUUCCUGGGCCACCACCGAUGCGUUUUAAAUUUAGGGCUGACCACCCUUUCACUUAUUAUAUUAGCUGGAACAACGAAUUGCCUAUUUUCAGUGGCAAAUUGAAUCGAAUUUAAACUUGUUAUCUGAUGAUAAUCUUGUAGAAUUAAUCUACAUACAAAAAUAAAAACUUAUUUCAUGGGGGAUAUUAUUUGAAAUCAAUUCACGACGAUCAGCAAUCAUUAUGUUGGUUUACUGCAAAACUGUAAUAUAGGUUUGUCAUUAGUUUUUCUUCUCGUUCCACAUUUGGAUUACAAAGCCACGCGAUGCGCAGAAUGGCAUUCAAGAUGCCGGUUAUUGUAAACCAGUCGUUCAUCUUUUACAUCAAUAAAAAGUACAUGAAAAUGAUCGCAAAACAACCGAAACGUCAUAACAUCAUACUGUUCGCAGGCAGAGUACUGAAACCAUGAUUAAAACUCUGUCAGGCAAAUGACUGUGUUGAUUGAUAUACAUAUAUUUAUUUUAUUAUAGCACACAAAACUUUUAACUUUAAAUAUUUUUGAUUCUGCACCAACGUUGCAAUUCUGCAAUAAAACGAUCACAACGUGAAA